ACUUACAAUUAAUAUUUCCCUCUUUGAAGACAAGAUGAAUUAGAAUGACGGAGAAUGGAGUGAGCACAGAAUAUCUACAACAAACACUUCUCUUUGGAGAAGACUUGGAAUGGGGAACACAAACCUCAAUGAUCUGGCCAUCUCCAUCUUUUUUUGACUUGUUGGAGGAUCCAUGAAAUCCUAUUGAAAUAAAGCUUAGAUGACAUCUUCAGUUGGAUUCCUAGGAAAUAAAACCUGAGACAAGUGUUCAUGUGAAAAUCACUCAAUAAUUUCAGCCUUUAUAGUAUGAGCAAUCUUGUAUUUAAUACGAGGCAUUGCAGUAGAAACAAAAGAAGAAUGAAGGGAAAUUGUUGGAGCAGACUAUAACACCAGUCUGAGUACUGAGGGCAACAACGGUCCAGAAGAUUUCUAGAUGCCUGGCUCAAAACAUCUUUUGAUGUUUCAGUGUCUCUGAUGAUGUCAUCAUGUGUUCAGCCUGAAUAAUGUCAAAGGACUAACCGCCCAUCCAGCUACGUUAUCUUCAAUUUGUUUCUUUAUAUCAAGGAGAAAACUUGUGACUAAAAUGGAAAUUUAAAAAGUUCUACAUUCUGGAGCAUCAAGAUCUAAUGCAGUAUGCCUUUGCAAAGUUUGCAUAGAGUAUUCAACAAAGCCGUUUUAAUGUUCUUUUACUGAGCGCACAGUUCAAUGGUGGACCAAUUUGCCUUAAAGGGAUAAGCCUCUACUAAUAUUUUGCUCAGCCUCUGAACAUUGGCAUCCUGCUGAUCCAUUUCUUCCUCAACCCUAGGAUAGCCCAGAAGAAAUGCUGGUCACCUGUUUCCUCUGUGAGGGAGUUUGGCUCCUCAGGAGGCCAUUUGGCUUAUCUGUUAACUACAGUACAAUCAUGGGUGGGAAGAACAUUCCUUAGCAGCCAAUCAAGGUUCCUAAGAAUGAGAUUUGAAGGACUGCUCAGCUUUCUCACUCUUCUCUAAAUUUGGUCGGAUCUUCUUCCAGUGGAGACAAAAAGGACUUUUUAAUUUCAUCCUGUCAAGGGAGUCUCAGGCUAGCUGCCAUACUCCUUUGUGUUCUCUUUUCAGUUACUCUUGCCAUAGUAUCAAUAACACAGUUUUUGAAAAUUUGAGCUGGAAUUUUUUUUUUCAAAUACAGAAAUGUUUCCAUCUCAGAAGAUUCAUCAUUUGGCCACUGACAAGAGGAACUUCCAUUAAUCCCAAUGGCAAUUUAAACCAGUAACCCUUGAUUUAUGACUGCAAGAAGCAUCCCAAAAGAUACAACAGAUGCACCCUUCACAAGAUUCAGGAUAUUCACUUCCUGUAUCAGCCUAAGAAAGCUAAGACCUUCAGUGUCCCAGGCAGCAAGAAUGGUAUAGAGAAAACGGUAUCUCUGUUUUUCCCGUAGGAAUGGGAGAUGACUGCACUCACAGACCUGCUCAUCUGUGACACUGGGCAGGCAUUGUUGGAUUGGGACUUUUCUAGUGCUAACAGGACACAAAUGUUGAGACAACAAAAGCCCCUUAUGGAAGUUGACCCCUUAUGACAUGCUCCCCUCCAAGUUGGCAUACUUGGACAGAGGAUGCUGCUUCUUGGAUUCACAACCUAUUCAUCUGUCUGCCAGAUGCAUGCCAACACUAGCAUAUUCUGACUGGCAGAGACCCAGAAGGAAUAUUCUCACUGGUCACAAAGCCAAGUGCUUAAGACAUAGUGUAGGAUGAGAAGAAAACCCAUCUGGCUUAUUGUUUCCUCCUUAUGACAACACAGAAGACCAAAGAGCUCGAUGGCCAUCUUCUAGAGGAAAAAGAAUCAGUAGAAAAUAAGAAUAUUCACUGAGCAGGGAAAGAAUGAUAAGGAGGCAGGUAGGCAGAAGCUUGGAUUUGCUGCCGCUGCUCGUGGGACUGUGACACAUGUGAGGCUCCUUAGGUAGAGGGGCCCAAGGAUGGUGACAGAGAAAUCUACUCAGAAAUUGAAAUUACCAUAAUAAAGUACCCAUGUCUGAAGCCUUCAGGUGAGCUCACCAUAUAAUUCAGCAUGGCUGAGUUGCAGAUGUGAGAAAUUUACCAUUAGUCUACCUUUAGACACCAUAACCAGGGGUACUUCACUGUUUUUGAAUGAAAUUUUUUUUUACUUUUUAAAAAAAGUU